UACGUAGGUCCCGAGCGUUGUCCGGAUUUAUUGGGCGUAAAGCAAGCGCAGGUGGUUUAUUAAGUCUGGUGUAAAAGGCAGUGGCUCAACCAUUGUAUGCAUUGGAAACUGGUAGACUUGAGUGCAGGAGAGGAGAGUGGAGUUCCAUGUGUAGCGGUGAAAUGCGUAGAUAUAUGGAGGAACACCGGUGGCGAAAGCGGCUCUCUGGCCUGUAACUGACACUGAGGCUCGAAAGCGUGGGGAGCAAACAGG
rnacentral:rRNA from 1 species